GAUGAACGCUGGCGGCGUGCCUAAUACAUGCAAGUCGAGCGAACGGACGAGAAGCUUGCUUCUCUGAUGUUAGCGGCGGACGGGUGAGUAGCACGUGGAUAACCUACCUAUAAGACUGGGAUAACUUCGGGAAACCGGAGCUAAUACCGGAUAAUAUUUUGAACCGCAUGGUUCAAAAGUGAAAGACGGUCUUGCUGUCACUUAUAGAUGGAUCCGCGCUGCAUUAGCUAGUUGGUAAGGUAACGGCUUACCAAGGCAACGAUGCAUAGCCGACCUGAGAGGGUGAUCGGCCACACUGGAACUGAGACACGGUCCAGACUCCUACGGGAGGCAGCAGUAGGGAAUCUUCCGCAAUGGGCGAAAGCCUGACGGAGCAACGCCGCGUGAGUGAUGAAGGUCUUCGGAUCGUAAAACUCUGUUAUUAGGGAAGAACAUAUGUGUAAGUAACUGUGCACAUCCUGACGGUACCUAAUCAGAAAGCCACGGCUAACUACGUG
rnacentral:rRNA from 1 species